CAUUGAAACACCAGUUUGUGUACAAUCACUGAAGUUAAACAACAUUGAGCAUGGUCAGUACUUUGAUGGGUGACCACUUGGGAAUACCAGAUGCUGUAAG